UACGAAGGGGGCUAGCGUUGCUCGGAAUCACUGGGCGUAAAGCGCACGUAGGCGGAUUGUUAAGUCGGGUGUGAAAUCUUGGAGCUUAACUCCGAAACUGCAUUCGAUACUGCCGUGCUUGAGGACUGGAGAGGAGACUGGAAUUUACGGUGUAGCGGUGAAAUGCGUAGAUAUCGUAAGGAAGACCAGUGGCGAAGGCGGGUCUCUGGACAGUUCCUGACGCUGAGGCACGAAGGCCAGGGGAGCAAACGGG
rnacentral:rRNA from 1 species